ensembl:lncRNA
ACGCACACGCACACGCACACGCACACGCACACGCACACGCACACGCACACGCACACACGCACGUCAAUCUCCAUUCAACCAACUAACUCCUAAGCAUUGCAGAGCAACUGCAGGUAAUUAAAACUAAUGAUCCCAUCCCAUCCCGUACCCCCCCCCCCCCCCACCCCGCCAACAUCCUUUUCCCUGAGGUUUGCAGCCUAUCAGUGGAACUCCCCGCUCCCCUAAUUAAACCCCAUCUCGUUACUGACGUAAUAAGUGGCCUUAAACUCCCUGACAAACUAACCUCUCCAUCAGACCGCUCCCUGACCGCGGGGCUGGACGUGAUGGAUAGGCGCCUUGGCAGGACCCCCUGGCCUGGCCCUCAGCUGACCUGCUCCUGCCUGAAUACGGCAGGCGACCCGGGCCGGUGCCGGGGAGGAUCUGGGGGGGGUGAGGGGGUGUCUGGGCAGGAUGGAGCUGCCAGAGGGUUGGAGCUUCUCCUUGACGCACUUGUUGUUGCGUUUCUACAGAGCCUCGCUUGGAGGUCAGACUGUGGAUAGAAGUGUCUGCCAAAUUAGUGCAUGGGAACGGACAGGGUCAGAGGUGAAGCUUAGAGAACUGAGGUUAGGAGAGGUCAGAGGACAGACUACACCCGAGCCGCCAGGUGCCCACAGUCACUCCUAGUUGCCUCCGCUGGGGUGGCUUCACUGAUGCCCACUGACCUGUUCCUGUCUAACCUCCACUGGAAUCUGCUUAGGAGGCAGCCAUUACUGACUGAAUGGAACAAGGCCAAUGAUGUCACAUCCUCUUGCACUCCUUCUUUGAUGACUUCAUGUUGUUCUCUCACACUCCCGCUUAUUACUCUCCCACCAUCAUUUCCUCUCUGAGUGUGAGUGUGUGUGUGUGUGUGUGUGUGUGUGUGUGUGUGUGUGUGUGUGUUUGUGGGGGUGGCUCUCUUCCGUCCUUCCUGUUCCUGUGCCCCCAGCUUCCUAAUAUCCUCCCACUCUCUCCUUCCUUGCUGUCUCCUCUCUUCUUUCCGUUCCGCUAUACUCUCUCUUACAUUUCUUUUUCCUCUUCGCUCUCUAUUCUCUCCAUCCAUCUCCUCUCUCUCUCUCUCUCUCUCUCCCCCUUCUUCUUCCUUUUUAUUUCCUUCCCUCCCUCUCCUACUCGCUUUUCAUCUCCAUUGCUCAUUACGUAACCUAGGUAACAACUGAUCGUGAAAGGGACUUGGCUAGGUCUGAUCUACACUAGUCAUGCCAUCUGUGUGUGUGUGUGUGUCUGUAAUUAUUGUGUGUAAAUGAAUGAGAGUGUGCGUGAUUAUGUCAGUGUCUGUGUGAGAUUACAAGUAUUGUAUUAUGGGUCGGUGUCUGUGUGUGUGUGUGAGAUUAAGUGUGAGUGUGUAUGUGUCUGUGUAUGUCUAUGUGUGUAAUUGUGAGUGAUUUUGUGUGUGAGUGUGUGCGUGUUGGUCAGUGUGUGUGUGUGUGUGUGUGUGUGUGUGUGUGUGUGUGUGUGUGUGUGUGUGUGAAGGUGACUGAGCAGACAGUGUGUACUCUACUGGCUGAUGGCGGG